rnacentral:rRNA from 1 species
UGGGGAAUAUUGGGCAAUGGGCGAAAGCCUGACCCAGCCACGCCGCGUGAGUGAUGAAGGCCUUCGGGUCGUAAAGCUCUGUGGGGAGGGACGAACAAACUCUGGGCUAAUCACCAGGGUCCUGACGGUACCUCCUUAGCAAGCACCGGCUAACCCUGUGCCAGCAGCCGCGGUAAUACAGGGGGUGCAAACGUUGCUCGGAAUCAUUGGGCGUAAAGCGCACGUAGGCGGUCUGUUAUGUCGGAUGUGAAAGCCCUUGGCUCAACUGAGGAAGUGCAUCCGAAACUGGCAGGCUAGAGUACGUAAGAGGGUCGCGGAAUUCCCGGUGUAGAGGUGAAAUUCGUAGAUAUCGGGAGGAACACCGGUGGCGAAGGCGGCGACCUGGGACGAUACUGACGCUGAGGUGCGAAAGCGUGGGGAGCAAACA